CGGAACUUAAUCAGUUGCCUUCGAUAGCUCGUAACAAUACUAUACCCGAGAAGAUUCCCGAGACAGUGAUUUUCGAUAUGUCACCACGAAAGCAAAUUCCCUUCGGCACAAUUGGAACGAAUGCAGCCGCUCAUUUCCGGUAUAACUCGUGUCCAAGCCGCAGCAAAUAGAGAUGGAUAGGAAAUGAAUGACAAAAGUUCCAUUGUAAUUCAAUGAGAGAGAUAAUUGGUUACGUUUCGAGAAUGAUAUUAAUAGUUACGUCAAAUUAAUAUACGCAUUCGUAGAUAA
rnacentral:lncRNA from 1 species